GACGAACGCUGGUGGCGUGCUUAACACAUGCAAGUCGAACGGAAAGGCCCUGCUUUUGUGGGGUGCUCGAGUGGCGAACGGGUGAGUAACACGUGAGUAACCUGCCCUUGACUUUGGGAUAACUUCAGGAAACUGGGGCUAAUACCGGAUAGGAGCUCCUGCUGCAUGGUGGGGGUUGGAAAGUUUCGGCGGUUGGGGAUGGACUCGCGGCUUAUCAGCUUGUUGGUGGGGUAGUGGCUUACCAAGGCUUUGACGGGUAGCCAGCCUGAGAGGGUGACCGGCCACAUUGGGACUGAGAUACGGCCCAGACUCCUACGGGAGGCAGCAGUGGGGAAUAUUGCACAAUGGGCGGAAGCCUGAUGCAGCAACGCCGCGUGCGGGAUGACGGCCUUCGGGUUGUAAACCGCUUUCGCCUGUGACGAAGCGUGAGUGACGGUAAUGGGUAAAGAAGCACCGGCUAACUACGUG
rnacentral:rRNA from 1 species